ACCAAAACCGAAAAAUUUCUUUACAAAACUGUCGCCCGAUCGCCUCGACCGACUGUCGCUUUUUGGUGGCCAGUGCGGCGCAUGUUUGGGCCGCUUUACAUGGCUUGGCCAGUUUCAAAUUUCAGUCCUGUUUGGCACCACGGCUCCCUCGUCGUCGCUUCUCGUUUAGCAACUGUUUCUUGAUCGUUUCCUUGCUCCUGUUUCGGGUUAUGCGUGAGCGGCGCUGUUGACGUGUUUGUUGCACAUGCGCAUUAACCUGGCCGCAAAUUUGCACCUCUCACAAGGAAGCGCAUUUUUAAAUGCCAAAACAAAUGGAAAAAUUAAAGCCAACGAACGAGGAAGCAAGGGCCAGAAGGGGGAAAGAGAUGGCAGUCAAACCUGCCCGCCGAAGAAAGAGUGAGAUGCAGCGACUGAGAGUUGACUGUAAAAAUGCAUCUAAGCCGCUUUUUUUUUUGCUUUUCUUUCCUUGUUUUUUUUUUUUAUUAUUUUUUUUCUUGCUGCCUAGCUUCUUUUGCUUUUUCAACUUUUACCAACUGGUUUCAGGCCACUCUCCUAAGCCAGGCUCACCCACCACCACCUAACCCCCCACCUACCCCCGCUGCAAGCAACCAUCCAAGGCUGACACAGCAGCCGCAACACUUUUAUUAUAUGCCUUCAUCUAAUAAGCCAACUCCAAAGACCAAGGCGAGCUUCUGCUGAAUCUGCGGCCGGAGCAACGGCUAUUGAGCUAUCCGUGUCCAAUUGCCAACUGCAAACUGCAACUCCAACUCCAGAUACAUACAUACUUACAUACAACAUAGCCGUACUAGUACCCAUACUACCCAGUUGCAGUUCUAUCGCCCGACGAUGAUCACCAAACAUGAUUGUUGUUCAGCUUUGCUGUUUUAACGCCAAAUAAAAUAAAUCAAAUUCCUGAGCGGUCGUCGACUAGACGUAUGAGCAUUUUUCGCCCAAGGAUGAAUAGAGUGCUGCCACAAAGCUAAACUGUAAUUAUUGCUUAGUAUUUAUACAUAAAGAUUAAAUUAAUUUAAUAAUAUUAUAAACUAAUGCUCUGUAAUGCAUGCGUUUGAGUUUCAAUAUUUAAUAUUAUUAAAUAUUAACUUUCAAGUUUAAAUAUAGACUUAUAAAGUCAAUCUCCAUUGUGAAUUAAAACAUCAUUUUUGGGAUUACUACUCUAUAAAUGUGAAAGAGAGGAACCAAAUUCCCACUGCCUCAUCACGGUGCUCUUAAAACGGGGAUCCUGACUAGAUGGCUCUAAAAAAAAGCCUCUUGGCUUUUCAGCUUGACCCCACUCAGCAGAACCACCUCCUUGGACCCUCCUGUGCCGCCUCCCGAGAUCCCACCUACUGGCCAAUGGCACCAAGUGUCGAUCGAUGUGGAUGUGAAUGUGGUGGAUGUCGAUGUCCUAGGCCAUAUAAUAAACUUGAGGAAUGCCGCAUGAAGAUCGGCAGCAGAACGAGCGCCGAGUCGAAACCAAAUGCAAACGGCUACCAAGACGGCGAAUGAAGACUCCCAGUUUUGCGGCUCCCAGCUCCAUGUCCAUGUCCAGCCACAGUUUCAGCUCCAGUUGGAGUCCCGAAACAUGUUAAAGGCAGAGAUUAAAUUCAAAUAAAUCGACAUGGUCGCCUGGAAAUGAAAACAUUCACAGAACACACGAGACAAUAACAACAGCAACUACAGAGGUUGGGGCAGGGAUCGAAUAGGGGAGCAGGAGGUGGGGCCAUAGUGGAGUCACAACAACGAUAAGCAGGAACGAUCAGUUUAGAGGGGAGUGAAUUUAACAGAAUCGACUAGCGGAAUACCCUGGAAAAUGCAAGACAAAACGCCAACGAUCCAUGAAAAUUUUGCCUGCUGCCUGACGAUUUGCGUGGCUCAAACACACACUGAACGGCUAAAAAGAGAGAUCCCAAAGGAAGGCAGAAUGAAGAGAACGGAUUUGUGGCAAUGAAGGGCUGUAGGGGGCUGGUGCUUGCGGGGAGGGGGAGUGUGCCUCAUCAGAGGAGGGGGCGCAGCCAAUUUGCGAAUAUUUUCAUUUCAAUUGCGCGACGGCUCCCAGGAUUGAGCCUCCUCGCCAUUCCACUCCAAUGCCCCUUCCGUCCAUGGCUCCAUGUCCAUUUCUGAUGCCCAGUCUUCUGCGGCCAUUGACACACAACAAACACACAUACACACACGGAGAUGACUGGGAUCCCGAAGACCCAGGGCCAGAACCAGAACACAGAAGACAGCUCGGAGCGCUCGGGUUCCUCUCGGGUCACACGUUCCGGGCAAGGCCAACCCGUCAAUAGCAGGGGGAGGGUGGAAGGUUUACGGAUCUCUGAUCUGAUCCCCAUGCAGGCAGGCAGGUACACAAAACGUCACUUGGCGGGAUGAUCUAUGUAUGCAAAGAGUUUUCGGCCAACAGUCACCUGUGCUCUCUCCACACACACACACAGACACAUUUCUGAUCCCCUUUGGCUGGUUGUCCUCCGGUUCGGGGCCUUUCAAAAUAAGAUCUGCGGAUCGAGACCCCUGAGAAACCCCAUCAAGGCUAUCAUUAGUCCAUAAGCCUCGGGCCAAAACUGUUUCGGCUUUUUAUUUCGUCUGCUGGUCAUAAGGAAACCAAAUACCCUGCAAAGGAUAACAAGAGAAGUCAUACGCAAUGUUAUUUCACAUUUCUUUUAUAGGAGAAAAACUAAUAGGUACUUGCUGUUUAUCCAUAUAUUUGGAAUAAUUUCUCUUGAUAAUUUCUUCGAUUUUAUUUAAAGCAGCUUUUUUUAAUGUUAAAACUCAAAGAAUUUGUA